UACCAGCACCCCGAGUGGUCGGGACGAUUAUUGGGCCUAAAGCAUCCGUAGCCGGUCCUACAAGUCUUCCGUUAAAUCCACCUGCUUAACAGAUGGGCUGCGGAAGAUACUAUAGGGCUAGGAGGCGGGAGAGGCAAGCGGUACUCAGUGGGUAGGGGUAAAAUCCUCUGAUCCAUUGAAGACCACCAGUGGCGAAGGCGGCUUGCCAGAACGCGCUCGACGGUGAGGGAUGAAAGCGUGGGGAGCGAACAGG
rnacentral:rRNA from 1 species